GGACUACACGGGUAUCUAAUCCUGUUUGCUCCCCUAGCUUUCGUCUCUCAGCGUCAGUUGCGAUCCAGUGAGCCGCCUUCGCCACGGGUGUUCCUGCAGAUAUCUACGCAUUUCACCGCUACACCUGCAAUUCCACUCACCUCUCUCGCACUCUAGCACGGCAGUUUCGGAAGCAGCCCCUGAGUUAAGCCCAGAGAUUUCACUCCCGACUUGCCACACCGCCUACGGACCCUUUACGCCCAGUUAUUCCGAGCAACGCUGGCCCCCUACGUCUUACCGCGGCUGCUGGCAC
rnacentral:rRNA from 1 species